rnacentral:rRNA from 1 species
UACAGAGGUCCCGAGCGUUGUUCGGAUUCACUGGGCGUAAAGGGUGCGCAGGUGGCCUGUCAAGUUUGAUGUGAAAGCCCCGGGCUUAACCCGGGAAUGGCAUUGAAUACUGGCGGGCUGGAGGAUUGGAGGGGGGACUGGAAUUCUUGGUGUAGCAGUGAAAUGCGUAGAUAUCGAGAGGAACACCAGUGGCGAAGGCGAGUCCCUGGACAACUCCUGACACUGAGGCACGAAAGCUAGGGGAGCAAACGGG